AAAGAAAUACAACUCAUCUUAAUUGGGUGAAAAAGAGGAAGAAAAACAUUAAGAAGCUUUGAUUUAUCCUCUAGGUACACACCUCUAUCUUUUCAGCUCCAUCUUCUUCCUUGUCCUCUACCUCAAGUCAUCUCCCUUUUCUAGGAAUUCAAAAGGGAGAUAUCUUGAUGGUAUGAUUGAGGAGAAGAUAUCCUAUAUUCAAAAGGGAAGAUAUCCUGAUUACCUCGAGAUUCUCCCCAGAUUCAGGUAACCAGAUUUUAUAGAUGUAUCAGAAUUUGAAUUCCACCAUCCCUAGAAGAAUCAGGAUUCAACUCCUAUCAAUAGGGGAGUAAGCCAAACCCUAAAGGUCCAACCUUCAGUGCUAUUCUGUUUUGCAGGUCUCGUCGAUCCCUGUAUUCUAGAAGAUUGGUGCGAGUUUGGCGGAAUCCCAAAAAGCCAAAUUUUUACAUCAACACUUACCUUGAUUAUUGACCAAGGGUGUGGGAUGUGCUCCAAAUGUUCAAAGGGUGGCCUUAUUAAUGUCGUGGAAAUUCCAAAAAAAUUA